rnacentral:rRNA from 1 species
AGAGUUUGAUCCUGGCUCAGGACGAACGCUGGCGGCGUGGAUUAGGCAUGCAAGUCGAGCGAUAUCUUACCUUCGGGUAAGUGAAAGCGGCGAACGGGUGAGUAACACGUGAAUAACCUGCCCUCACAUUCCGGAUAAUAGACCGAAAGGUCUUGUAAUACGGGCGAGGAUUUCUCUUAGGCAUCUUAGAGAAAGGGAAGGCGCAAGCCGUGCGAGGAGGGGUUCGCGGAUUAUCAGGUAGUUGGUGGGGUAACGGCCUACCAAGCCUACGACGAUUAGCUGGUCUGAGAGGAUGGUCAGCCACACUGGGACUGAGACACUGCCCAGACUCCUACGGGAGGCUGCAGUCGAGAAUCUUGCACAAUGCGCGGAAGCGUGAUGCAGCGACGCCGCGUGAAGGAUGAAGGCCCUUGGGUCGUAAACUUCUUUUAUCGGGGAAGAAUAAAUGACGGUACCCGAUGAAUAAGCCACGGCUAACUACGUGCCAGCAGCCGCGGUAAUACGUAGGUGGCAAGCGUUGUCCGGAUUUACUGGGCGUAAAGAGUAUGUAGGCGGACAUUUAAGUAGAAAGUGAAAGGCUCGAGCUUAACUCGGACACUGCUUUCUAUACUGGAUGUCUUGAGUGCCGGAGAGGAAAGCGGAACGACACGUGUAGCGGUGAAAUGCGUUGAUAUGUGUCGGAACACCAAUGGCGAAGGCAGCUUUCUGGACGGAGUCGCAAGACUUAAAACUGACGCUGAGAUACGAAAGCGUGGGUAGCGAACAGGAUUAGAUACCCUGGUAGUCCACGCCCUAAACGAUGUUCACUAGGUGUCGGGGUGUAACCUUCGGUGCCGCAGCUAACGCAUUAAGUGAACCGCCUGGGGACUACGGCCGCAAGGUUGAAACUCAAAGGAAUUGGCGGGGGACCGCACAAGCGGUGGAGCAUGUGGCUUAAUUCGAUGCAACGCGAAGAACCUUACCAGGGCUUGACAUGUAUCUGCAAGCGAUAGAAAUAUCGUCGCCUUCGAGGGUGAUACACAGGUGGUGCAUGGCUGUCGUCAGCUCGUGUUGUGAAAUGUUGGGUUAAGUCCCGCAACGAGCGCAACCCUCAUUGUCUGUUGCCAGCGAGUAAUGUCGGGAACUCGGACGAAACUGCCUCUGUAAGGAGGAGGAAGGUGGGGAUGACGUCAAGUCAUCAUGCCCCUUACGCCCUGGGCUGCACACAUGCUACAAUGGCCGGUACAAAGGGUUGCUAACCUGCGAGGGUAUGCUAAUCUCAAAAAACCGGUCUCAGUUCGGAUUGAGGUCUGCAACUCGACCUCAUGAAGUCGGAAUCGCUAGUAAACGCCGGUCAGCAAUACGGCGUUGAAUACGUUCCCGGUCCUUGCACACACCGCCCGUCACGCCACGAAAGUUGGUUCUGCCCGAAACCGCCGCGCUAACCGCAAGGAAGCAAGCGUCUAAGGUAGGGCCGAUGAUUGGGACGAAGUCGUAACAAGGUAGCCGUAUCGGAAGGUGCGGCUG